AAGAGAAAUAUGAAGUGAAAAUUGUGGUAGGUCGACCCUGGCUGGAUGCCAGGUGACCACCAAAGCCUCUGUAUCACUCCCCCUCCUCAGCUAGACCGGGGAGAGAAAAUAUAACAAAGGCUUGUGGGUCAA